GAUGAACGCUGGCGGCGUGCUUAACACAUGCAAGUCGAACGAAACACCUUAUUUGAUUUUCUUCGGAACUGAAGAUUUGGUGAUUGAGUGGCGGACGGGUGAGUAACGCGUGGGUAACCUGCCCUGUACAGGGGGAUAACAGUCAGAAAUGACUGCUAAUACCGCAUAAGACCACAGCACCGCAUGGUGCAGGGGUAAAAACUCCGGUGGUACAGGAUGGACCCGCGUCUGAUUAGCUGGUUGGUGAGGUAACGGCGCACCAAGGCGACGAUCAGUAGCCGGCGUGAGAGAGUGAACGGCCACAUUGGGACUGAGACACGGCCCAAACUCCUACGGGAGGCAGCAGUGGGGAAUAUUGCACAAUGGGGGAAACCCUGAUGCAGCGACGCCGCGUGAGUGAAGAAGUAUUUCGGUAUGUAAAGCUCUAUCAGCAGGGAAGAAAAUGACGGUACCUGACUAAGAAGCCCCGGCUAACUACGUG
rnacentral:rRNA from 1 species